rnacentral:rRNA from 1 species
CUGGUUGAUCUUUGACGGAGGUUACUGCUAUCGAGGUUCGACUAAGCCAUGCGAGUCGAAUGCCGCAAGGCAUGGCGUACUGCUCAGUAACACGUGGACAACCUACCCUUAGGACUGGGAUAACCCCGGGAAACUGGGAAUAAUCCCCGAUAGUCCUCGAAGGCUGGAAUGCAUCGAGGGCGAAAGCUCCGGCGCCUAAGGAUGGGUCUGCGGCCUAUCAGGUAGUAGUGGGUGUAGCGUACCUACUAGCCUACGACGGGUACGGGUUGUGAGAGCAAGAGCCCGGAGAUGGAUUCUGAGACACGAAUCCAGGCCCUACGGGGUGCAGCAGGCGCGAAAACUUUACAAUGCUGGCAACAGCGAUAAGGGAACCUCGAGUGCCAGGUUACCAAUCUGGCUGUCGAGAUGCCUAAAAAGCAUUUCAUAGCAAGGGCCGGGCAAGACCGGUGCUAGCCGCCGCGGUAACACCGGCGGCUCGAGUGGUAACCGUUAUUAUUGGGUCUAAAGGGUCUGUAGCCGGCCGGAUAAGUCUCUUGGGAAA